AAACGGCUACCACAUCUAAGGAAGGCAGCAGGCGCGUAAAUUACCCAAUCCCGAUUCGGGGAGGUAGUGACAAGAAAUAGCAAACUGGAUGAAUUUUCAUCACAGUAUUGCAAUGAGAACAAUGUAAAUGCUUUAUCGAUUAACAAUUGGAGGGCAAGUCUGGUGCCAGCAGCCGCGGUAAUUCCAGCUCCAAUAGCGUAUAUUAAAGUUGUUGCAGUUAAAAAGCUCGUAGUUGAAUUUCUGUACAUUCCCAGUUCUGGCUUCGGUCAAGCUGUGGAAUGUGCAUCCGCUUGCAAACUUAGACCGGCCUUCACUGGUCGACUAAGGGAGUAAGCCCUUUACUUUGAAAAAAUUAGAGUGUUUCAGGCAGGCAAUGGCUCGAAUACAUUAGCAUGGAAUAAUGGAAUAGGACUUUUGUCCAUUUGGUUGGUUAUUGGACAUAAGUAAUG
rnacentral:rRNA from 1 species